UACGGAGGGUGCGAGCGUUGUCCGGAAUCACUGGGCGGUAAAGGGCGCGUAGGCGGCCGUGUAAGUCACCUGUGAAAUCCCCGGGGCUCAACUCCGGGGCUGCAGGUGAGACUGCGUGGCUAGAGCACGGUAGAGGCGAGUGGAAUUCCCGGUGUAGCGGUGGAAUGCGUAGAUAUCGGGAAGAACACCGGUGGCGAAGGCGGCUCGCUGGGCCGUUGCUGACGCUGAGGCGCGAAAGCGUGGGGAGCAAACAGG
rnacentral:rRNA from 1 species